rnacentral:rRNA from 1 species
GAUGAACGCUGGCGGCGUGCCUAAUACAUGCAAGUCGAGCGAAUGGAUUAAGAGCUUGCUCUUAUGAAGUUAGCGGCGGACGGGUGAGUAACACGUGGGUAACCUGCCCAUAAGACUAGGAUAACUCCGGGAAACCGGGGCUAAUACCGGAUAACAUUUUGAACCGCAUGGUUCGAAAUUGAAAGGCUGCUUCGUCUCUCCCUUAUGGAUGGACCCGGGUCGCAUUAGCGAGUUGGUGAGGUAACGGCUCACCAAGGCAACGAUGCGUAGCCGACCUGAGAGGGUGAUCGGCCAAACUGGGACUGAGACACGGCCCAGACUCCUACGGGAGGCAGCAGUAGGGGAUCUUCCGCAAUGGACGAAAGUCUGACGGAGCAACGCCGCGUGAGUGAUGAAGGCUUUCGGGUCGUAAAACUCUGUUGUUAGGGAAGAACAAGUGCUAGUUGAAUAAGCUGGCACCUUGACGGUACCUAACCAGAAAGCCACGGCUAACUACGUGCCAGCCGCCGCGGUAA